ACCAAUUGAUCCAGCAGCGAGGGCUGUUAGAAAGGCUUAACAAGCGUUCGACCCUCUUAUUACCUCCUACUACCUUCUUGAGAAGAGAAGGUCUGGGUUGUGGCCUUUGCUCUGAUUAAUUUCAAAGGUGUUUUAUCAGCUGUAGAGGUCAGGGCUCUGUAGAGGGCAGUAAAGUUCCUUCACACAAAACUUGCUCAUCCAUGUCUUCCAUGGUCCUGCUUUGUUCACUGGUGCACAGACAUGAUGGAACAGAAAGCAGAAAUCCCAAACUUUUUCCACAAUGUUGUCCAAACUAGCACGGUAUGCCGAGGCAUUACAGUAGAUGUCCCAACCUCAGAAAAAUCCAAUCAAAACAUUCAAACCCUUGUCUCACUGACUUGGCUAUUAAAAGUCAGGCAAGCGCCAUCUUCCUGGCAACCGCCAAACUCAGGCAUGUCUAUCUUUGCAAUGGGAACUCAUGUCAUAAAGAUAAACCACAAUGCCAAAUUAUUUUUUCAGAUAAUGAAAAUAUGUCAGACAAUCAUUCUGUAGGUAAGGAACAGGGCUAUCAAAUCACUGUCAUAUUUGAACUGGUCAAACCUGGAUAGUACAACAACAGGAACAACAAGAAAAGGACUGUAAGUCAACAAUUGUGUUUGUCUUUUACAUAUAUUCUUCAGGCCUAACCUUCUUGGCUAAUCCAAUAAAACAGUAAAGUGGUGUUGUUCUACUAAAUCGUUAAAAACAGACUGACUGUUAAAGUUUAGAAGAUUUAUCAUCAAAACAUAUUUGCAACUACAACAAAGAAGCCAACACAGACAGCUCCCCAGCUGUUAGCUAUAAAUGUAUAAAAAUAAAUAGGAACUUCCUGUGACAUACGUGACUAAUGAGAGCAAACACUGUACAAGACACCUUUCGUGUAAAAGCACACUACAUAGUUCACAUAGACGUAGGCAGCGAUUGUACUGUAAAUGUUGUGGGUUCUUAAAAGAUCCAACAAACCAAACAUUUGUUUGAUUUAGACAGUGGGGGUUUACGCAAGUGCUUUUAUAUCCACGAUAACACCACUUAUCUUAAGUAAACAUUUGUCCUGAUAAGAACUAUUACUGGCCAACACAGGCCGUCUGCAGUAUUUUGACAUGAGACAGUUCACAUCAAACAGCUCAUAUCAACUAUCCAAAAUACUGCUUUCUAAAACUGUAACAUGUAAAAGUGAUUCACAACAAAAAAAGAGAACAUACAUUUUUAGAAUAUACAUAUCCAUGGAUCCACUGUACAUAAAAACAGGACAGAAAAUGUAAUAUAUAUAUACACACACACGCCUUUCCCAUUACAAGAACAGAAAUGUUACUUGCUUGGUUCGAGUGUCAUUGGAUAAUGCAUUUGUAAAAUAUUUAUACUGAGUCAACGCAUAAGAGCCACGUGUCACUUCAACUUUAGGGGAAAUUAUACAAAAGGUUAUUUACUCAGAAAUCAGUUAAAAAAAAGAUUAUCAAAAUUAUUAUUUAUUUUGGUUUUGUUUUAUGGUGAAAUUAAAUGAAAUAAAGAACUAUACACAACCACAAACUAAAAGUCAGAAUUCCUUUCAGCAAUUAAAAUGUAAAAAGCAUUUUAAGAUCAUUACUCCUGUCAACACAGUGAGAUAUUUAGAUGCAAAACAGCAUUAGUUAAUAGUUAAGUAUUUAGGCGUGCAAGUUUCAGUUGUUUCCAUCACGUAGAUGUGGAUGAAAAAUGCUACCACCAGUUACAGUUACAAUAAAAAAGGAGAAAUAAAACCCAAUGCCAACUUGACCUGAUUAACUGUUAAGCACUUUGUGUCUCGUAAGUGUAGCUUAAUGCAAUGGUUAAGUGAACUUAUUUGUACUAAUGGACGCCACAAAAACUGCAUCAUAAUUUGAAAAGUACCAGAUUCUGCUUUUUCACAAGGACGUGUUCAUUGCAUUAUUCAGCAUAUUGGCUUUUUGCAUCUUGCCUCAUUUUCUUCUCAAUUGUUUUGAAAUCAUUCAAAGGGAGACAUUACAAAACAAAUGAUGCAGCUCUAAGAAUGAAAACUAGAAGUCUAAGGGAUGGGAGUGGAGCAACAGGAUGCUUACUGUCAAGGAGGGAAAAAGAAAAAAA